UGUUUGCCAACCUUUUGUAGUUUAUGAUUAUUAUUAUUAUUAUAAUUAGAGGGUUAAUAUUCACGCAUACAGUAGAGACAUAUUUUAGAGUGUCGUACACACUACAUCUAAAGGGUGUUGUCUGAAGGAAGGUUUACUACUUGCUCCUUCAAAGGCUCGAACUCAGAUAGGUUCUAUGGAUGAACAACUCUUGACUAGACUUGUUUAUGAUUUAAAAAAUUCGUACAAUUUUGUUUUUACAAUUCACGUAAAAUUGGUAGGAGUAGACCACUUCCAUAUUCGCAUACAUCACUAGUAUGCAAUUCCUAUAAUUUGAUUUUACGGUACUAAUUUAGGAUAAAUACUCUUGACUAAUGGCCCAAACACUUUGAUUAACUAAAUCCAUAAAUUUUAAAAAGAUUUUUGAUUUAGUGCUGUAUAUGUUAGAGAUUGUGACUCGAAUUUUGAUAGUUGUUGAAGAAAUAAAUACAGUGACAAAAUAAGAGGAUCUGUAGGGGCACAAGUUGAGUUCGUAUAAAACUAUACUUCUUCUAUUUGACUUUGAUUAGAAUAGGAUUUUCAACCCUUAAAGAGAUAUAGUCGAAACUCCUCUUGUAUCAUUUUUUUUCAACAUUAGUGAAUUUCUCCUCCUUUACCCGUGAUUUUUUCCCAAAAAUGGUUAUCAUGUAAAAUCUGUGUUCUUAUUUUCUUUUCUUAUUGCUUUGUGAUAGUUUUACCACCAUUAUUGACGUUUAUUAUAAAUAUAUGAAAGUUUGAUGUUUUCUUCUAUCUCAAGCCAUUAAUGAACUCAUUCUAUUGACCAUACUAUUUUAAACUUUUUCCGAUGCUUUUAAACAGACACAUGGUAGAAAUCUUUGGAUCGAAAACGUACAAAUAAUCCCACUUUAAAACUCAUCAAAAAGGAAGAAACAUACCAAAGAAUGAUACUACAAGUCUUCAAAUUUAAACUUUGAUUUGAGGAAAUUGCAUGGAAAGUAUUAAAUUGUAGUCUUAUGGGUUUUGAGGAACCUCACUAUGAAAAUUAAUUACCAUUGUUGGAUAUUUACUAAGUUUACCUUCUCUUAUAGCUCCCUGAAUUUUCCCAAAUCUGUUCUUUUCUUUCCAUUUUUGUCAUCAUCUGGCAUGACAUAGGUUAUUUUGUCUGUCGAAAUCAUAUUGGUCUAAAGCUAUAUCUUAACCUCUUCCGUGGAUAAAAAAAUAGAGAGGAAGCGAUAUAAAAAUUCCCAUUUGAUUACUUAAAGUUCAAAUGUAUGUGUCCAAAAAUAUGAUUAAUUAAACACUUGAAUAAGAUAAGUUUUGAGUUAAUGAUACAUUGUUUAAGAUUAAACAAUGUUGCUGACAAAAGCACUCUACAUGACUUGGACGAUUAAUGGGUUCAUGAAUUUUUUUUGGGAGGGUUAAUUGCACUUGACGCCCUCAAACUAUUUCAUUAAUUUUAAAUUGAUCCUCAAAUUUCAAAAUGUUCCAAUUGAGUUCUAAAGUAUUAGUAGCCAGCUGUUAGCUUGAGCAUUAAAUGACAGCUCAAGAUAUAAUAUGAAGUGUAUUUAAAAUACAUGAAUUAGAUUUUGAACAUGUGUAUGAUUACUAUAUGGACAACUUAGGUCUAACGUGCUAAAAAAACGUAGCCUACUUUUUUUUUAAAACAUUUGAGAUCCAAGUUUGUCUACGUGAUAGAUGCACGCUUAUUUAAAAUUUGAUCAAUAUGUUUUAACUAUACUAUUGAUUUAAGCUAACAUUUAAUACACAAAUUGAUGGCUAAGCUAAUGAAAAGUUCUAAUUGAUAUAAUAUUGAUACUUUAAGAAUUCAAUUAAAAUGCUUUUUAGUUUCACGGACCAAUUUAAUAUUUGGACCACAGCUUAAAAACGUUUAAUUAGACUUGUCUAAAGUCCUUCAUUAAGCCGAUUGAAUUUUCGCUCGAUUGGCAUGGACAUUAUUGCCAAUGCAUGAUGACGUGGGUUCGAGUGUGCGUAAGUACAUUAUCCUCCUAUUUAUGGGUUGGGGAGGGGUUAUGAAUAGUUUUAGGUAUUGUGUCAAAAAGAUCAAAUAUGAUCAUAACCUAUAAAGAGAUUAUUCGAAAAAAAUAAAGUUCUUCAUUAAGAUUUACACACGAAAAAGAUUGUUUAGAGUAUAUAUUUGGAAAAAGAUCAAAGCUAAGAAAUUUCCCAUGGAUGAACCAAUUACUAGUACUAACUAAACAAUAUUCUUUGCUAUUAUAUAAAAGUACUAAAUAUCACUUGUUUUUGAGCUGUCGUUGCAGUGCUUUGCCUAGAUUUCUAGUUGCACGAAAUCACAAAGAAAAGGGAAAAAAAAUUAAUACUUAAGUAGUUAAAUUAUUAUUUAAUAUAUUAAUGAUAUAGUUUUUUUUUUAACUUCUAAAGUGAAUGCUUUAAAUGAGUCAUUGACAGACGUUUCCAAAUUUAGUAUAAUUUAUUCACAAUUAUUUGAUGUUGAGUUCUUUGUUUCACUAGGGUGUUAAUAUGGUGGCUCUCGUUCCGUUUUUGAGGUUAUCUUAUUAUAUGCAAAUUAUACUGAACGAGAUAUUUUACCCAUUCUUUUUUGGUUAGACUCAAUGUUUGAUAAUACAGACUUGUCUUUCGAUGAAAUUGUGAGACGUUAAGAUUCAAGUGUGUGAUGUAGACUUAUUAGUUCGGGUUGUAGUGAUCUUCUUUGUGUUUUUUCUCGUUUAAUAUAUGCAUUUUUGUUAAAAAAAAAAUUCUCAAGUGACAACUAAAAAUCCAACAUAUGUUUCAUCUAUUUAAUUUUUAUUUUUUAAAUAUCAAUUUGUUGAUUAUAUAUUCAAAACUACGACCACUUUGAUUGGGAAUUGUGGAUUAAAAAUCAAACCAUGUGGUUGGUUAAUUUGACAAAAGAAUACUAAUAAUUAAAUGGAUGAAAACCAAUACCAUAUAAAUUUGAAUCAAUUUGGUCAUAAAUUCAACCAUUUUGACUAAAAAAACAAAACCCAAAUAACAAGUUUAUAGUUAGUUGAAAAAAAUCUAAUUAAAAUUUGUAGCUAAUGUUGAACCACACAUUGUUAUGGAUAUUGUGUGGUUCUUAAUAUAUCAUAAAAUUCAUCAUAUAUAACAGGCAACUUGCUUAUUGACUUUGAUCGACGUUUAGAAAUGGGAGACGACAUUGAAUCACAACUACUAAUUUGACCAUUGGUGGUUUGUUUGAAAAUUACCACGAAUUUAUUCAAAAAAUGAGUAAAUUAAUAUUUAUAUCUUAGAUUAAAGAAUGAAUUAAUUUUUUCAAUUAAAAUUAUGAAAUAAUCAGAUAGUUAAACAUGUCAUAUCACGUAUAUCUCAUGUCGAAUAUCAAUUUUUAAUAUUAGAAAUGGAUAGAAAUUUUAGUAGAAGGAACGGUUUGCUCUUUAAUCUAACUUAUAGGGGCUAAAUUGCUCAUUUUUUUAAUAGAGGAAAGAAAAUGUAAUCUAACUUUUAGUACAAAGGCCUACAAAAUACUUUUAGCGUUACUAUGAUUAUUUGUACUUUAAACAUAAAUUCCAUACGUAAAUUCAUAAAUCAUGUUUUAAAUUCAAAUUCCAUGUCUUUCCACUUAACUACCCAAAAGAAAAAUAUGGUAGAAAAGGUUGCCAUAUGUGGACAACGGACAAUAUUGUUCAAAGGAGAAUGUUAUUACUAUAUAUUCACGAUUUUUUUUUCAUGUGAACUCGAAAUUUAGUUCAACUUGAUUCAUACAUUAUUUAUAAAAAAAUGAAAUCACGAGUGUUAGAUGAGAUGACAAUGGUCUCUCCUAAUUUAAUUAGUGGUCGAGGGUUCGAUUUUCGUCUUGGGUAUUGAGCAGCUUUAAAACUUGCAAUCAACAUUUACCUCCUUAAUGGGCCUAUAGAAUGUGGAUGAUUAGUCAUUGGGCUCACUAUCAUACGUGGACAAGGGAGAAUGUUAUUACUAUGUGGUCAACAUCUACCUUCUUAAUGGGCCUACAAAAUGCGAAAAAUUAAUUACUAAGCUCGCUGUCAUACAUAGACAAAGGACACUAUAAAGGGAGAAUGUUAUUACUAUAUGUCCACUCAAUUUAAUUUAUACAAUCAUUUUUUAAAAGAUAACAUUUAAUAAGUUUUAGAUUUAAAUUAACCCAACAGACAUGUAUUUGCAACCCUUUUCUUUAUCUACCCUAUGACCUGAACAAAAAAAAAGUAGGAUGAUUUUGUGUGGGGAAGAUAUAAGUUAAUAGAACAUAUCUAAUAUCUUUUUGUCCAAACCAUUUAUUUAGUGGACAAGCCUUCACAUUUGGGCAAGUAGACCGACCCUUAAAUAGGUUAGUUUCUAUUAGAUAUAUGAUGAAAUUUUUUUAUGUUAAGCUUAUACCUAUGUUAUCUAAGUUUCGUAUAGAAGCUUUAUCCUUUACCCCAAACAAAUCUUAUGAUGAAAUUUUUUUAUGUUCAGCUUGUACCUAUGUCAUCUAAGUUUCAUAUAGAAGCUUUAUCCUUUACCCCGAACAAAUCUUGUCAUAAGAACACCAGAUUUAGUUUAGUUUGAUUCAUACAAUCAUUUCUAAAAGGUGGUAUCUAACAAGUUUGACAUUUUUCAUGAAACCCAAGCUUUAAUCAAGUUUGAUUCAUACAAUCACUUUUUUUUAAAAGCAACAUAUAAAAGGUUUGAGAUUCGAACUAACCCGAGCAUUUGUAAUUUCUUUAUCCUUACGCAUGAGCAAAUAGAGUUCAAUUUCGUGCAGGGCAAGAUACAAGUUGAAUAAGAAGAAUGAGCUGAAGUUGUAAAGGCUGGACCACUAGGGUCAAAGGAGGGAAGCUGCCAAACCAACCAUGGGACAUUUUAACCAUUGCUUGGCUUGAUAAGUAGCCUGUGUUUGAUCCAAUUGUCGCAUUAACAAAACUUGUCUUGUAGCUUUAUAUAGUUUAAGCAUGAAGCUUGAGGAUUAAAAUAAAAUCUGCCCCAACAUGCAAGGUAAGUGUUGCGCCAACUAUGUGUAUAUAACAUAGUACAAAGUUGCAUAGAUAUAUGGAGAUGGCAAGUGUGUGUCGACCUAAAAUUUCAGGGUAUUGGAUUGAAUAUGAAAUCACCUUUCACAUGGACAAACAAUGGCAGCCACUUGAGCCUUUUUCCUCAGGCUGCUUUCCUUCUUUUGGAUUCUCCGUCUGCCCCCCACCCCCCCCCCCCUCUUUCCUUUUCUUUAUUUUGUUCUUUUCCAUCACUUUCCAGCCGAGAAAAGCUAAUUAAAUGAAAUUUGUGGAAUUAUGAACUAUAGAAUUGGGGAAAGGAUUGUAUGAAACAGUGACGCCACAUCAUCUGUAUCCCUCUCCAAUAGUUUUAUGCCACAUCAGUACUCUUAUCCUGAAUUUCAGGAUUUUAUCCUGAAAAAAAUCAAAUCCAAAUUAAAAUACUAAAAUUCAGGAUAAAAAUACUGAUGUAGCAUAAAACUAUUAGAAAGGGAUACAGAUGACGUGGCGCCGCUGUUUCAUACAAUCCUUUCUCAUAGAAUUGAGAAGAGAUUAAAAAUUUUGGUUUUAAGACUUUAUUUUUUAUGGAAAAUGGAAAACACUAAAAAAAUGUGUUUUGGAUGAAAAUUUUAAAAACCAUUUUUGGAAAAUGAAAAUGUGUGGAAAUUAGAAAACAAUGAAAACAAAUGUAUUUUUUUUUUUGAAUUAUAAUAAUAGGACAAGAUCCGAACAACAAAAACAACUAGUGCGACUUAAACUCAAGCCAUACCUAGGGUAGUGAAACCAUCAGGCCAUCACAUGGGUUCAAAAAUAAAUAUUUUUUAAUUUUGAUGAAUUCACAUUAGUUUAAAUCCAAACAUAAACAAAUAUAUUCAUUUUUUUCCUACAAUUUUUAAUUAUCAAAUUUCUGGUGUUGAUUCAAAUCUCUUAUUAUUCUAUUAUGGAAAAAAAGGUUAUCCUAAUAUACUACUAAAAAAACCCUAAACCACUACACUUUAUUUAAACAAGCCUUUAAACUCUUUUUAUAGUUAAAUAAGCCCCUACCCUAUCAUUUUUACCCAUAAAACCCCUUGAUUUUAAUAUUGAAGUAAAAUUAUUUUGAAUUUCAAGCCCUUAUCUUAAUUUCUUAUUAAUGCAAUAGAAAUUCUAUACACUUUUAAACAUCAACAUAAAAUUUAAGAGAGUGAUUAAUUGUUUUACAUAUAUAAGCACUUUCAAGAAAUUUUAAAAUAUUAUUUUGUUUUACUAUAAAAAUUAUUAUUUUAAAAUUCACAACAGCGUAAAAUGCAAAUUAGUUUAAAAUUUUAAUUUUUUUGUACUUUUAAUAUCAAAAUCAAGUGCUUUCAUGAGGAAAAAUUAUAGGUCACAUGCUUUUUUAACCACAAAAAUAAAAGAAGAAGCUGAUCAAAGAAGUUAAUGUGUCAAAAGAGUCAGAAAAUGCUUCUUGUAGGAUAUAUAUAUUUUUCGUUUCUCUCUCUAAAAUCAACCUAUUUUUCUAAAUAUUUUUUAAAACCACCAAUUUUUUUCAAAUUUGCUCCAUCUUCAAAAGCAUACGAUGGGGAUUGGUGACAAAACUAGGGUUAUCUAGCAAGCAAGAAAAGCUUGCAAUUUAAUCCUCUUUUUAAUCCAUUCGCAGUCGAAAAAGCUAGCAAACAAAUAACUUUUAGAAUCGAACAAAAAUGGAUUUUUUUGAAAACAUUUUUCUGAUUCUUUUUUCACCAAACCGCGUGCACUCUUUUGUAUUAUGUGGACUUUGAUUGAUGUAAUGAAUAUUAACUUUGCUCUUGAAUGAUAAGGAUAAACAAAGUUUGUAAGGUCAUGAUUAAUUAUGUGACCAAAUCAAUUUCAUUUUGAUGUUUGACGUUUCAAUUUUCCAAAUUGGGUAUACUUUGUGGUGAUGGGUUAAAGAUUAUUUUUGGUAAUAUGAUUAUCGAAUAUCGUUAAUUUAUUGGCAAACGUUGGAAUUUUUAGGAAUUAUUUUUUUAAAAUUUAUUGAUAAUCUGUUAUUUCUUGAUGAUUUGUAUUAGUGCAGUCUACUUGCUGUUAUAUUUCUUUAUAGAUUGUACGAUUAUUUUUUACAGUUCUGUCGAUCAAAUAUGAGUUGGGAGUUUUUUUUACUCCAUUUUACUUGUAAUUAAUUGAUUGAGCUAAAAAAAAAUGUAAGAUUAUUUUGUAAAUUAUUGAGUAUGAUAUGUUAUUUGUUUAAUUUAUCUGGUAAGAAUGUAAGAUUUUAUUUGAUUAACGGAAUAUAAUAUUACCUAAAUUAUUUCGGUAGAGUUUGCUUCUUUUUUCUUUAUUAUUAUUUAUUACAAAAUGGUCAAAAAGUUUAUAAUAUUUUAUCUUAUACAUUUCUUUAAUAAAUUAAUUUCAUAUAUCAUUUUUCAAAUAAAAGUAAUCUUUCGAGCAGAAUAUAAUAGACAAAAUGUAAUCUAAUAGAGUAAAUGUCAAUUUUCCUUGAUAAUAAUACUAAAUAAAUAAAUAAAUAUAGUUGAAAUAUUAGUUGAAAAAUAUAUAAAAUUUUGAAGAAUUUGAUUAAAUAGUUGUUAUUAUUAUUUUAUUUUAUUUUUUGCCAGAUAUUUUAUUUUAAUUUAAGUAAAAUGAAUUUUUUAACUAAUAAUUUCUUGACCUAGUUACAAAAGUAUUAUGUUAUAGGCAUGUGAGUAAAAUGUCAUAUUAAAAUUAAAAAUGAAAUAAUUUUGUAAAAAUUAACAUAUUAAAAAAACCCAAAUAUUAAAAUUACGUCUUAGAUUCUGGAAUCUUGACACUCUUGAGAAUAUCAACUCGAGAUAAUGUUUAAACAUCAAAUUUAAAAAUCUGAAAAUGUUUCAUUCCUUUGAAUUAAAUACACCCUUAAGACGAAUUCUAUGUGAUAGUCUGAUAGUCAAAGGUGUUCACUGUCUCAGGUAUGGCUUGAGUUUGAGUCGCAUUAAUCGUAUUUGUUGUUCGGGCUUUAUCUUAUUAUUGUAAUUCACCCAAAAAAAAUACACCCUUAAAAUUUUUUUUUUUAAAUUACCUAAUUUAUUAUUCUUUUAUUUGGCUAGUUGUAUUAGGAGGGAAAAGGAUUGUCAAGGAUUUAAACCAUAAUUGCAUUAAUAUAAUAAAUUAAUAAAAGUAUUUUAAAAAUUAUAUCCAUUAGUAAAAUCAUUCCUAAUAUCAAGUUAUUGGUGUCAACUCCGCACCAUAUAUAUUUAGUGAUUAAGUGCAUAAAAAUGGCAACACAAAAGAUAAACUAGCUAGACUUGAAAAUGAUUUACGUUAGAGGAUAGCAUGAUGUUGAUAAUUUGCAAAUGUCAUUUUCUUUUUCUCUUUUGGCACUCUAAGUGUUAACCAAAUCUUUUGUCUUCCAUAAACUUUGGGAUAAUAAACUAUACCCUAUACAUGUAAUCUUCAAUACAUAAAAUACAAUAACUUGUUAAAAUGUUAAAGUAUUAUGGAGUAUUUGGUAAACAGAGUUCUGGGGCUGCUUUAAUUGAUUUGGGUAUAAAUGGAGGAUUAGGUAGUCAAGUAGUGUUUGGUGAAUAGAGGUUUACAAGAGCUUGUUGAACUAAAACCUCUAAAACGAAAAACGCUGAGAUGAACAACUUUUUUCACAAUUGAUUGGGGAUGAAAUAUGUGGAAUGACAUAUCUGACCAUGUUUGCUAAAAAAUUACUCAUUUUGCCACUAUGUACAAUUUUAUUGAUACACUAUUAAUAUAUCAAUUUUCACAAGGUUAAUAUUCGCAAAUAAGGAACUUAAGAAAUUUGUUUAUUUAAAUUUUCAAAAAAAAUUCACUAAUUAAUUUCCAUAAUGGAUGUUUUAAUUCCUUGGUAAUAAUAUUUUAUUUCAAUAAUUUCACCCAAUAAAGACUAUAUUAUUAUAAACAAAUAAAUACUUAACAAAAAAAAUGAGUCAUGCCCUUAUUUGUCAUUUUACACAUCUUAACUUUCAGCUAUCAAUUAAGUUUUACCAAAUGUUUUUAAAUUAACAGUUAAUAGAAUCAGUUGGUCAAAUCAACCACCGCAAUUAGCUGAUCAACUGUCAACUAAUUGCUAAAUAAGGUCUAUAUGUUGUAUGUAAGGCCUAUAUGGUAAGUUGCAGAAUUAAUUGAUUGAAAUGUUCAAAUGAAUAGUGUUAUUUCAAAUGUCUUGAUUAAUGCCAUAUUGUUGUACAUGCAUAAAGCUAUAGCUAGCAAGUCAAAUAUGGUCCUUACAUGAACUUUUGUACAGAUAUACGAUUUAGAAAAGUGUUUAGAAAAUAGUGUUUUUGGAUUGAGAGAUAUCAAAUCUCAUCUUUCACUUUCACUAAACAAUAAUGUUAAAGAAGGGAACUAGUGUUUUAUUAUGCAAAAUUUGAUGGAUGGUUAACUUGUUUUGGGAAAGUAUGAUCUUAGGGUUCUUGAAAGUCCAUUGAAAAACAAAAAAAUGGGUGUAGAUUUUGAAAUUUGGUGUGGAGGCUAUGAAUGAAAAUAAAAUAAAAUAACCCUUACCUAUAACUCUUUAAAAACAAUUCAUAAACUGGCCCACCAAAGAAGAAAUAUUAAUUUAUAUUAUUAUUUUUGCUUUUUCAUGUGGACCUUCUUUGGUGGUCUAUAGGACCACACUUGUUGUGACAAAUUGCAAUGUCUCCCACAAUAGUGGGAAUAAAAAAGAAAAGAAUAAAGAUAUGGUUACACUUGAAAGAAUGAAAAGUUCACAUUUCACACUCUCAUUUCAUAUAUUUGACCAUGUUGUCCACUAUAAAUUUCAUGUUUAUAUUAAUUAAUUUAUACCUAAAUCAACCCAUAACAUUAAACAAGCUCAAUGAUGAUUUAUUUGAAUGCAAUAAAACAAUAAAUGUGUAUUUAAGUUUCACAUCUAUUUGUCGAUUGACAUGAGUAUUGUUGUUAAUGCAGGAGGACGAAUCACGCAUUAUCCUCUUAUUUAUAGGUUUGGGAGGGGCUAUGGAUAGUUCUAUUUAUGGGUUUAGAUCAUAUCUGCUCUAUUUGAGAUAAUACUUAGAAUUACUUGUACCCCUCCUCAACUCAUAAAUAAGAGAAUAAUAUAUUUUAGCAUACUCAAACCCAUUUCCUCCUAUAUUAACAAUAAUACACAUAUCAAUCAAGUUAAGACUCAAUUCCUCUCUGAAUUAAAAUCAUUUUUAUUACAUAUAAUGGAAACAACCUUAAGAACAUGCUCUUCAAUUUGAUUGGGUUUUUCUUUUGUUUUUUUUUUUUUUUAAAGAUGGAAUCAUAUUCCAAAUAUAUCAACUUGAUUAGUUACCGGUCAACAACACAUAAAUAGCUUCACGAAACAGCUCAAGUCUUUUUUAUUUUAUGAUUUCAAUGUUGGCUCUUUUUUUUUUCUUAAACCAUUUGUUUUUAUGUGAAUGGUUUUGAUAAAAUUGCAUCAUCCCUUAUGUAACAAGUUUUGCCUUUUGCCUUUCGUCAUUUGAUAAAAAUAUCACCAUUGCGAGAUUAAAAAAAAAAAUACAAACGAUGAAACUCGUAUCUCAAUCUUCUUUUAAUAAAAUUUACUACAUCAAUAAAUUAUUUAGCUAAACUUUGAGUUCUACUUCACCUUUGUAGUUUUAUAUUUGAAUUGAAUAUGAUUCGGGUUAGCUGAAGUGAAUUUAUUUAUGCUUAAUACUAAAAUUUAGUUGCAAUAAAUUUAUCUGUACGAUAGUGUAAUGUGUGCGUGUGUGAAUGUGAGUGUCUGAAUUUGAAUUUAUAUUGUAUAAAAUAAAAAAUAAAAAUAACUUAGAAGGUGUUUCACAUUAAUGUAUCGACAAAUCACUAAUGAGAAUUGGAAAGGUUUGGAAAUGUAUGAAUCAAACCAUUACCUAUGAGUUGCCAACUCGUUCUUCAAAAGGCACGUAGUUGGAGCUUUGGGCUCCUCUCACUGCUUGGGAACUCUUUUCACUCUUCUCCCAUGGUAUUAUUUCACUAUUGAUUAUUUAGGAUUAUUUAGCCUCUAAUUCACACAAAAUUCCAUUUGUCCCACGCUACUCUGGUUAAAGUGUAAGUUAGUGAUGCUUUUGGCUACUAGACUAUCACCAUUUAAGGUUCGAAACUUAAUUAAUCUAAAUAGGUGUUUUGUUCUAUGUAGGAUCGUGGAGUACUACUGAUAAAACUUUAAAGUGUUGUGUGAAGAUGUGAUUAGAUGGAGUCUAAUUUUACUCUCUUAAAGUCUGCAGUGAAGUUUUGGAAAUUUUCUCGAAUCUAAUUAAAAGACUCUGAAUGGAUCUUAAUCCGACUUGAUAGCGUUGCACGUGAAAAGUAGAUAAGAAUAUGUUGAGCCCCUAUAUGAAUUAGUUUCUAUUGAUUAAAGUGGUUAAUCCAGUGAGGUACUUAAACCCUAAAACUAAAAGGACAACACGCAGAAUAUGUCAUAACAUAUUUGAUGGAAUGUCUUUGGGGACAAGCUUAGAAGAUAUUGAUGCUAAGGGAAGCAAAGACAACCCCAUGCUCCAAGCACCGUAAGUACCGUCCCAAAAUGUACGCUCCAUUCUAAGCACGAAAGACCCUACCCCCCCUUAACCGGUCGGACAGUCUCUCCGGUUCAGGUCUGUCUUGAUUGAUUUAGUUAUACUAACCCGAAUUAUUGUUUCUAAUAUUAAAACUAUUUUAUCUAAUUUAAUUUUUAAAAAUAUAAAAAUUAAUAAAAAUCUUAUUUUUUAAAAUUAGCACAACAAUCUUACCCAAUUAGUAAUUAAAACCAGGGUUUAACAAAGAUAACCGAAAUCUAUUUAAAAUCAUUAUAUUUUAUUAAAGAUCCGUUCUUCAUUGUGUUUGCGGUUUUAAAAAUAUAUUUUCAUUAUAGAAAUAACGAAGAACACUUAAUUUUUGAGGUCAAGAUUGUUGCAGAAAAGUAUUUUUCCACUUAAAUGUAAAAGUCAAGAGUUAGGUGUCUUGGCUUUUGCGAUUGCAAAUGAAAAUUAUCAAAAUACCUUUAUUUAUAUUAACUACGUGAAAAAUAUAUAAAAAAAAUUAGAUUUAUUUAUAUUUUAUGUAUAAUUAAUUUUACAAAUAAUUUAUAUUAAUUACUCAAAUGUAUUUAAAAUUUAUACUUCAUGUACUAAUAUAUUAAAUACUUAAAUAUUAUAUAACUUAACUAACUUUUAACUUUCUACUAUCAUGUCGAAAAAUGACAUUUUAACCUUCAAUCACAAUUUUUGCAACAACGGAGAACACGACCCAAGCCACACCUGGGGUGAUAAACACCUUUGACCGUCAGGCUAUCACAUGGGGUUCCUUUAUUGUUUAUUUUAAUUGCUAGAGAUUUUAAUAGAUAAUUGGAUAAAUACCAAAAGUAUAUAUCAACUUUGACACAAUUUGUAAUGUUAUACAUCAAUUUCAAUUUGUAUACACCAAACUUUGAUUUUGAUUCAAUUUUCUAUGUGACAUUUUUUCUGUCAAGUCAUGUAUAAAUUGCAUACGUGACAUUUUAUUGUAUUAAAAAAUAAACAAACAAAUUUAAAUUAUUUUCACAUAGAUUAAAGAAACAACUUUCUUGGAGGAAAUAAAAAAUCAUUUUCCCAAAUGUGUUUUUUUCUUUUAAUCUAAGUGAAAAUAUUUUUUUAAUUUAAUAAAAUAUCAUGUCAAUAACUUACACAUGAUUUAAUGAAAAAAAUGUGUCGCAUAAAUAACAAGCUUAGUAAAAUGUGAAAAUUGAACCAAAAUGAUAGUUUGAUGUAUACAAAUGCAUCAAAUUAAAGUUGAUGUAUAACAUUAUAAAUUACAUCAAAGUUUAUGUAUAAUUUUUUUAUUUAUCCCAUAGAUAAUUUGAUAACUUCUAAAUAACCCUUUUUUUUUAACAUUAAUCUCAUUAUAAUGUCUUAUCGUAUCUGUUCUUUUUGAAACAAUGUUUAGUACUACCCAUAACCUCUUCCAACCCUUUAAAUAAAAGAAUAAUAUGCUUCAACGUACUAGAACCCCGUGUCCUCAUACAUCGACAAUAAUACCGAUACCAAUCAUGAUAAGAUUAAUUAGCCUAAAUAACCCCCAGUUGAAAAUACACCUUUUUUUUGUGAUUAUAAUAGCUAGGUCCCAGUCCAAUCCCCAAAAUCUCUAACAAUCUGCAUGGAUUACAAAACCCUGUUUAGCCACAGUCCACCACUGAAAACCCUACAUAACUUAGUCUGAUAAUUCACACAUACACUACUUACAAAAAAAUGGAGAAGAGGGUCAAAAAGGUUCAUGAAUGGACCACCCUGUACAACAAUAACCUAUAGCUAAAGAGCAUAUACAGGUUUCAAAAAAAUAAAACAGUAAACACCCAGAGGGACACUGCACACCCAGUAUUUCUCCCAGUUUUUUGUUCUGCCCUCCUUUUAUGACUCGUACAAUUUUUUAUUGCUUUGUGUGUAAAAUUAUAAUGGGUACCUUCUUUCUUUUGUUGUUAUCUGCAUGUACUAUGUGAUGCUUAAGCUUUUGCUGGUGAAAAUAUCUAAUAGGAGUUUACGUAAGCCAAUGGAAGCUCCCAGUAUCCUGUGUGGGAAACUAGGAAGGGGUAGUUGCUAAAAUGCGCCGGGGUGGGGCUAGGAUUGGCUGGGUGGCAAAAGUACAAGCAGAUAAAGCGCGAGAAAUAGUGACGUCGUCAAUGGUGUAAGGGAAAUUUGGCAAGUGGGCGGUGAAAGCUUUCCUCCUUAGUCUUGUAGUCUUGUGGACCACUUCUUUCUUUUUUCUUUUAUUAUUAUUAUUAAAUUAUGAAUAAAUUUUCGUUUUAGUUACUUAACUAAAAAAGUUAUAGUUUGAUUAUUGAAUUAUUUAAACCUUUUAAUUUAGGUCAUUAAACUAUUAAAAUUGAUGCAAUAAGACUUUAUCUGUUCACACUGUAUGCACUAAUCGAAAUAUCUCUUUCCUCUUCUCUUCUAUAAUUCCCUUUUUUUAAUGAAACAACUUUAGAUAUAACGAAUCUACGAAUCAAAUUUCAAACAACUUUUUUCUUCGUUUUCCAACACUACUUGUUAGAUCGACUUAGAUCUAAAGUAUGUUUUUGUACUCGUCGACAAGUAUUGAUCUAUCAUAUCCAUUGUUAAAUUGUCACUUGAAGUUCAAUAGCGGAACUUUAAAAAAAAUUCAUAACAACCCAAUAACUUAAACAAAAACUUUUAAAUAAUUUAUUGACUUAAAUGAAAAUUUCCAGAUAGUUCAAUGAUCAAGUUUUAACUUUUUUAGUUAAUUGACCAAAACGAGUACUUACUCAUAGUUUAGUGACUAAUGAUAUAAUUUACUUUCUUUUAGAUAUUUUUAAUGAUUUUUUUACUAUUUAUAUUUAAAAUUUAUAAUUAUUUUCCAAUCAAUAUUAUUUUCACAAUUCAAAUUCAUGUAAUAUGGUUUACAAUUAUGCAUGUCUUUGUUUAUAAUAGUUAGGAUUAUAUUCCAUCUUUAUUUGUAUUAAUAUAUGUUUUUAAAGUCUAUUUUCACUUGUAAAAAUGGAGAUAAAUUGAAAGCGAUAAAAAAGUAACACAUGCUUCAUACUUGGGAGAGUCGAUUUUGAUAAUAAAUUCCUAUUUAGAAGUUAUAAUUAAAUAAAUUUAAUGAUAAAUGGAUAUUUUUUUUAUAAAUCUUAUAAUUUUUAGGUUGAUUUGUAGAUUGAGUCUUUAAUUCGAUUGACAUGGGUAUCGUUGUCAAUGCAGGAGAACGUAAGUUCGAGUGUGCUGAAACGUAUUAUCCUCUUAUUUAUGAGUUAAGGAGGGGCUAUGGGUAGUUUUAGUCAUUGUAUAUAAUCAAAACCUAUAAUGAGAUUAUUUUAAAAAAAAAUAAGUUGACGUAACAAUAAUAGUGUAAAAUUGUUAGUAAAUUACAUUUUUCUUUGUUUACAUUAUUAGUAAGUUUACAUUUUGGUCACUUAAUUUUAAAAAGUUACAAAAUGGUCACUGAACUAUUCAAAAAUUUUCAUUUUCAUAAAGCUAUUAAAAUCAUUACUAUAUGAUCUUCUCUAUUUAUAUUGCUUGUGCUAAUUGAAAGUUCUUCUUCCUUUUCUUUUUUACAGUUGUUUUUUUUUUUUGUUCACGAAACAACUUUUAACUUCACGAAUUUGAAAAUCAAAAUCUAAACAGCUUUUUUCUUUGAUUUCGACACUAACCGUUAAAUCGAAUUGGAUCUAAAGUAUAUUAUUUUACUCAUCGAUUGAUUUUUUAAUUAUUACUAUUGGCAAUGGGAAUGGGGUGGAGUACUUGAAUGGAGCAAUUAAUUAGAAAUGGAAUUGGAUGGGAAAAAACGUUGGACCACUUCAAUCUCAUCAUCUCCUUCUUUCUUACGCACCUCCAACAUUUAAUUACAUUUUUUUCUUAUUAUUACAUUUAGUUAUAUUUUAAAAAGAUAUAAAUUUUAAUGUAUCCAUUUUAUUUUUUUAGUUUAUAUAAAAAUCAUGUCUUAUUCUUAUAAUUUAAUCAUAUCAUAUUCCACAUUAUUAUAUCUUAUUUUUUAACAUAAUAAUUCAAAUAAAACCAAACAUAAUUUAUUAUUUUGUUUUCCAACCACAAUGUCUUUGGUAUUGAGGUUGACCAAAAGUAUUGCAUAGGUCCUUUGAGGUAUAUUUUAGUUUGGUCCUCUAAUUUAUGAUAAUUUUGAAAGUAGGUAAUUAAUGAUAAUUAAUUAUAAUGUUAAUGUUUUCUUUAUUAAUUGUAUUUAUUUUUAUUGACAUAUAAUAAAUUUAGCCUUUAAAAUUUUACAUAUUUUAUCAAUUUAGUAUCGAUUUAAAAAAUUUUGUUACAGUAUUUAUACAUUUUUUAAAUUUGAUCCUAAUUUAACAAAGUUAGCUUAUAAUAAUUGUACAUUCCAUCAAUACUAUUUACACACAAAUUAUACCAAUCAAAAUUAUAUACAAUUAACGGCGUGAUUAAUUAUCUUUUGUUGCUCAAUUUUGAAAUUGAUAGAAAUUAAAUUACUCUAAAUUUUUUAAAAACUUGAGAGGAAGAAAGAGAUGUUUUUACUUUUUUACUUUAUAUACUCUUAAAAUAAGCAUAAAGAAAAUUGGAUAACAUAUACUAAUUAAAUAUUAGUUUAAUUGGCAUAUUAUUAUAAAAUUUUAAAAUUUUAAAAAUAAAUUAAUUAGAAAUUUUAAAGUAAUUUAAGAAAUCUAUAAAAUAAAAUAUUAUUGUGAAUAUAUACAUGUUUAAUUAUAUAUUAUGAACUUUUUGGCUCACCUCUCCCAAGGCAUAAAAAGGGAUCGCUUGAAACUUAUAUGAAAAAGCUAGGAUUCAUAUUCUACUUUGGAAAAUGGCUUCUUUUGGGAUUCAUGCCCCUACAAAGAUCUCUACUUCCACUAAGGUCCUAUCACUAGUGCACCUUUUUUUCCCCUUUUAAUACAUAUUUUACUAAAAUGUUAUUUUUCUUUUAAUUAAUCAAAAUAUAAGAAAUAAUUCAUUCUUUGUAAAAUUUUAAAUAAUUAAAUAAAUUUAAUUAAUAAUAAAUUGAAUUGAAUUUUUAAAUUUAUAUUUUGCAGAAUAGGAAUAAUUCAAAGUUAUUUAUUGAAAUGAUUUUUUUAACUAUAAUCUCGAUGUAGGUACGAAAUUGUAUUGAUCUCGAUACUCAUAAGUAUCAAAUCUUUAAAUUCUGUGUAACUUUUUUUCAACACUAAAAAACUCUAUAUCGAAACAUUAUAACCCUUAAACCCUCAACUUUCAAAAUAUAUAUUAUUUGACACCUGAGUUUGGUUUAAUAUUCAAUUUGAUACCAAAGUUUUUAUCUCAAAUUAGUAACUAAGUUUGGCUUACCAAACUGUAAUGGCCAAUUUUUGGCCCAGACCAAUAAUAAAAAAUAGCAAAGAAAAAAGAACCCUGGCCACCCCAUGAUGUUUGCCACCCCACGCCUCUGCAGCACCAUUCCCAGGCAUCACUCCUCCAUACCCUGCAAAAUGAAACAAACACCAAGACAGAAGCAGACAGCACAAGCAGAAGCAGAGAAUAAAACAAACAAUAUUUUAAUAUGGGAAUCGGCUAUAAAGCCGAAAUGAAACUGAUUGUAAAAAGGGGGAUGGUGGUAACACAGAUAUUAGAGAUCAAAACAAGUACAAACAAUAAAAAGAGCAAGAAAAGAAAAGGUUGAUAUGUGAUUCUACUUUCUUUAUUUCGUCUUUUUUUUUUUCUUCUCUAAUUUUUCUCUUGAUUUCAACACAAAUCUAUUAAAUAAGAGUAGACUUAAAACCAAAAAAGAAAAAAGAAGAAGAACCUCACCGGAAUCGCCCGUGAUUGUCUCGCCGGAGACCUUUCCUCCGUCGUCGGGACUAAAGGGAGGUGGAGUCCUUUCUUUUGGUUCUUGUCGACUCAAAAAAGGCUAGGACUUCGAGAUCCUUUUGGAACAAGGCCGAACGGCCCAUGCUUGUGCCUCACCGGCCACCAAGUACGGUGGUGGUGCGGCGGUCCGAUGAUAAUGCGAUGAUGGGUUCUUGUAAACCCUGGCAGAGGAAAUGGAAAAGAGGGAGAGGGGGUAAAAGGCCCUCUGCAUUCUUUUUUCUUCUUUAAAACAGAAGCUGAAAUGAAAAAGAAAAAUGAAUGGCUUAAAUGGCCACAGAAACGACAGCAUCUUUUUUUAGGCUAAAAUGGGAUAUUUUCGGUCAUGAUCCUUCCUCUUUUCCUGCGCCAUUUAAUUUAGUCCUUUUUGCAUUUUUUUUUUAAUUUUGGCCCACUUACUUCAUUUUAUUUCCGCUUUAAUCCUCGGCCUGAGUGGUUGAAAAGCAGUGCAUUUGAGACUUAGGAUAAUGUCCCAUUUUGUCCUCAUAACUUUGAAUGCAUUUUAAUGUAGUCCAUGACACUUAUCUGUUAUUAUAAUUUGUACCUCUUCUUUCAUUUUGAUGUUAAUUUAAUCAU
rnacentral:lncRNA from 1 species